CACGUAGGGCGCAAGCGUUGUCCGGAAUUAUUGGGCGUAAAGAGCUCGUAGGCGGCUUGUCGCGUCGAAUGUGAAAACCUGCAGCUCAACUGCAGGCUUGCAUUCGAUACGGGCAGGCUCGAGUUCGGUAGGGGAGACUGGAAUUCCUGGUGUAGCGGUGAAAUGCGCAGAUAUCAGGAAGAACACCCGUGGCUAAGGCGGCUCUCUAGUACGGUACUGACGCUGAGACGCGAAAGCGUGGGGAGCGAACAGG
rnacentral:rRNA from 1 species